CAGUGAAAAUCAUUGCAUUCACUUGGGUCUCUCAAAAGUACGGUGCGGUCGACAGAAGCGCCAACUAAAGCAUAACAAAAUACAAGAAAAUAAAAAAUUGAACACAAAAAAACGCAUAAAAUUGUUUUCAAUAAUUUUUAAAUAUUUUUAGAAAAAAAAAGAUGAAUUUCUGAAAUCCGUGUAAAUAAAUGAAAAGUUAAUAAGAGCCAUACAUUAAUGACGUGAGCAAAAAAAACACAUACGUUUUUUGAUAGAAGUAAAAAAAAGCUGAAAUAAAUUUCUUCCCAUAUAAGCAUUCUCUCUUAGAGUUUGUAAAAAUCAAACGUAGAGUCUAUCAGAAUUUCCAAAAAUCAAACGCCAGGUUUCUCAAAGUGAACAAAAACACCUGUACAAUUAUUUUCUGAUUAAAUAAAUUUUCCGUAUCUUAUACAAAAAUUAUUAUUAUGGCUAUGAGAAAUUCAUAAGUAUGGGACCCGAACCGGUGUACUUCAGUCUACAAUCUACCACUAACGGCAUAAAAUUAACACCAGCCUGAGGUUUGUUUUUCGCCACCGCCGUCACCACUGAAUUGUAACGUUUAUCCGUCGUUUCUUUUUCUGAAGUUCUCAAUCGGUGAUAUAAAAAUUCCCGGCAGCAAACUGCUACGCUGAAGAUAUGGAGCUGGUCGGUGUAAACAUGAACAAGCCCGAAGACGUGACUAUAGAAAGGGAAUUUGAGAAAAUCAAAAAGCUUGACAUUGCAUCAUGGAUUCUUCAAAAUCACCACCUAUCAGAUUCUUGUUCAGUAUAGCGAUGCAAAAUCUGCGAAUUCAAUACUUGAAAGCGCCUGGCACAGCUGCAAUAUAAUCAUUGCCGCAUCAUUGAGAGGAUAUUAACUAAAUCAUCAAAUCUUAAUAAAGUGCCCACCUACCAUUCGUGAGCCAAUACAUUUAUUCACCAAUUAAAAAGUCAUAGAAUCGAGUCAAACUGACAGUAACCGAAAGGCAAUAAUGUAUAAACAUUCUUAGGUGGAGGGACAGCGGUUAUUUUUCUGUUUUUUUAUAUAUUAUUUUUUACAAUACAAAACAGCAUUAUUAAUUAAUUAAUUCUUAACAAUAUAUUUUGUUUAUUAUGACGCCUCUGCCCCCGCGCCUCGUAGGGCCUUCGGGAUAGCGCGGGCAUCACGGGUGGCGUCGGUCUCUGAAAUAUCACCUGCCUUGAUGCAAAAGACGCCCCCACCAAAUGAAAUAACACCUAUCUUGAUGCUGAGAAGCUGCAUAGACGUUUUUAUAGAGCACUGCAUGGAGAUGGCUGAUGAUGACUCUGACGGACCGUCGACGUCAGCCCAGGCUUCAAGGCGAUAGUUGUCAAAUCCUAGUACGAAAUUCGAUGAACUGUCAACACACGACAGACUUGUGCAGAUCCAUUUCGACGAGGUGUACACCAAUCAUGUGGCGGUGUACUCACGGGCAGAAGAAGUGUUGCGUGGUUGCGACUAUAGCGACAAGGCGUAAACGAGGACCGUGGAGCACCGCUCUGUCCUUGUCUUCGCAGCAAGAAAUCUGCUAACCCCUUUCAACGUAAUACUCAACAGCCACCCUUGCACAAUGAAUAAACUAGGCAUGAAGCCGCUAUUUGAAGAAAAUAUCAAAGCGGCCGAAGAGCUGGAUGUAAGAGCUGCCGUCUGCGAUCGAAAUGCAGCGAACAAACGACAUAUUCGCAUCCUCAGAACUCAUAUCUAUG